rnacentral:rRNA from 1 species
CCUACGGGGGGCAGCAGUGAGGAAUAUUGGUCAAUGGGCGGAAGCCUGAACCAGCCAAGUCGCGUGAGGGAUUAAGGCCCUGCGGGUCGUAAACCUCUUUUGCCGGGGAGCAGAGGUCCGGACGUGUCCGGGCCGGGAGAGUACCCGGAGAAAAAGCAUCGGCUAACUCCGUGCCAGCAGCCGCGGUAAUACGGAGGAUGCGAGCGUUAUCCGGAUUUAUUGGGUUUAAAGGGUGCGUAGGCGGGCAUUUAAGCCGGCGGUCAAAUGUCGGGGCUCAACCCCGGCCUGCCGUCGGAACUGGGUGCCUUGAGUGGGCGAGAAGUAUGCGGAAUGCGUGGUGUAGCGGUGAAAUGCAUAGAUAUCACGCAGAACCCCGAUUGCGAAGGCAGCUUACCAAUCUAUAUCUGACGUUGAGGCACGAAAGCGUGGGGAGCAAACAGGAUUAGAUACCCCUGUAGUC